CUUGUAUAUUGCCCCUUGCAUACUGCCCCUUGUCCAUUACCAUAUGCCCUUGUGACAAAUCUCUUUCCAGCUUUCUCAUGUAUGCCAAAAACCAGCUAGCAAGAGAAGAGAGAGAAUAUCUAUUCUUUAUUUUUAUUUCGUCUAAAUUUAAAUGGUAAAACUUCCUACUUUAGCUAGGACUGGCUAAAGCAGUUUGUUUUUAUUUAGAGCAGCCUAAGCCACCUGGUUUGUAGAUGGUAAAUUCCUGUGUCUUUUGCUGAAUGCUUGUUAAAACAAAGAAUAAGGGAGAUGGGCACCAUCUGCACAGAGCAGGGUAGCAGCGAAGGAGACAUCAGGAUGAUGAGUGAACUGCGGUGUCUUGCUUUCCCUGCAGAUUGAAGAUAGGCAGGCCGAGAUGAGCAGGAGGAAUGUGCCUCAGAGGUAAAGAUGAGGAACAUGCUCUUGGAAAGAGGGUGACUGCACCUGAAGGCACUGCUCAGAAGAGGAAGGUGUAUGCUAAUGAGCGAGUCUGAGGAAUGAUCUCCAUGUGCUGCUGCCUCCAGAUGUGGCGUGGCAGCAGGGCUGGGCUGCCUCAGCUGCUUGCUGACAACUCAAAGAAGAAAGCCCUGACUGUCCCUGCUUCCCUUCUUCACCCUCUCACUUCUAGUGAUGGGCUCUGGCCACAGGGCCAGCUGUCAAGCCCCUCCAUACCUGGCUCUGCAGAAGAACAACGUGGUAUGGUACAGCUUUAAUGGUGUCAUGAGUGUCAGAGCUGGCAGCACAAGGUGCCUGUGCUUUUGACUUCCUUUUCACUGCAGGUACAACAAACCUGGCUCUAUGCUGUUUUUCCGAUGUCUCUCUAUCCCCAGUGCCUCCUUUCACAGAGAGCAUUGCUCCUGUACUUUGCUUUUCCAUAACAGAUGAUGCCUGGUUUUGGGCUUGUUCUGGCUUUUCCGUUGCGUUUCUGUGCCAAAAUAUUUUUUCUUCCUUUAAGAGGCUUUCAGCUAAACCUGUAAAUUGGGCUUUGCAGCAAAAUUCUUAUUGUGCUUUAGGGCAAUUUUUGGUGGACUGAAGAGAAUCAUGGAAGAAUAGUCAGAUGCACAUGCUGGCUCAGCAGCUUCACCUGUUGUUGAUGGAAGAAAUGAGUUAAGGGCAGAACGUGCAGUUAAUGGUGCAAGUCUGAGAUUACAGCUUGGUUGUUGCAAGUGGACAAAAAGAAUUGUAUUUCAGCACAUAAUAGUAUUUUAUUUUAGAACUAUCACAGUAUCAUAAAUAGUUUGCUAACAUACACAAACACCUUAGUGCUUAGCUUUCAGUGGCUAACCAUGUGUCAACAAAAGCUUUAGAAAUAAAUUUAAUGAAUAGCCUUGUGCUGAGAGAAUGAAUCUUCACAAUUGUUUGGAAACAGUGUUUUGGAGACUUGAGGACAUUCUUUUUCAAAAACUAAUGUUUCAAACAUAAAACAAUCAAGCAACUUGAAUGUAUCUAAUCAGAUGAAGUUUGAAGAAGUUCGGGCCAAAGCUGAAUUGGGUCUGAUGUAUCAACACAUGGUGAAAAGUGCACAAAAUGAGAUUUCUGCAGCACAUGUUUCUGUUGAGCACUGUUGGACAGCUACACAUGCUGGAUGCAGCACCUUUGUGCAGGCUGUGGCUGCUGCCAGCCUGUGGUAUCCUGCAUGAGCAGGAAUGAGUGAGUAGAUCAGAUAGGCAGUAAUAACAUGAGUUUUGGUUAGGCUUGUUAUUAAUCACUGGCUGCGUUGUUUGUUGCUGUAAUUGGGAUUCUGACCAAAGCAGAAAAUUGCAGUUGCUUUAACAGAUUAGAUUCUGCAUUUAAUUUGGCAUGUGGUCUCUUUAAACAUGAAGCUAGGCAUUAAGAUAUGUGUGAAUAGGGAAGAGAGUGCUGCCUUUCAAAGAGCACACUCUGUCUUGGAACCUCACAGCAAAUGCUCUCCUUUGAAUUUCUUCACUUACAUUGCUCUGUGCAUUUCUUUGAAAACUCGAGUAUGUGUACAAACAAAUGAAGCAAAAUCUUCGGAAUUCAUUUUAUUGGGCUAAAGCUGGUCUAUGAAAGCUUGACUUCUAACAUGACAAAAGAUGAUGGAGCUGGUGCAAAGCUCAUUGCAGCAAUGAGGAGAAGAUCUUGUUCCCUUCUUUUUCCCAAUCCUCCUCCUGGCCAUGUGCUUCCACUCCUUCCAAGGUGCCACCACUGCACGUGUGUUGCCUCAAAUCACCCAGACCUGAGAAAGCUGUCUAUGUUUUCACUGGAUGAUUUAUGAAAGGAUCCAGUAAGGACCAGAACAGGUAUAAGGUAAGUGGGAGAAAUGUGCAAUGACAUUGCACACAGGAAAACCAAAAAAACCUAAAUAAAACCUUUGAUCUUGAACAAACUCAUAUUUUUAAUAGAGUGUUUUAUUUUAACUCUUACUAGAAGAUAUUUUCCUUUGUAUGAUAUCAAUGCUGGGUGUUUAAUGUGAAAUGUUGGAUGUUUAUGUAUUCAAUACUUGCUGAUCUUUAGAGAAAUUAAACUGAAGCUUGAGCCCUGCUGAGCAAUCAGAGGCGUUUCUUGUUUCUUAAAUGAAGUAGGCACUGCUUCAGAAAUUAAAAUUUCAAAACUUAUGUUUAACUGCACCAGUUUCUAGAUUGAAAUAUUUUUUCAGGUGCUUUGAAGCCUGUCUGCUCCCUUUAGAGUGUGGGGCUCCCAGAAUGGGAUGCAUGCCUGCAUCUGAUGGCCUUUACUGCUUCAGUGCUUCAGUAGUCUGGGUGCUAUGGAAAAGCACCUAGUGUUACCAACUAUAGCAUGCCAGAAAGUGUUACCUACUCCAUUUAAAAGAAAUCAAAAGGGUUGUCAGAGGUUUUUUCAUUUUUUAAUCAUAGGCUAAAUUAGUAUUUUCUCUUUUGCCAUGAUUGAUUUAUAUAAAUGGAGUGAAAGAUGGAAUUGUUGUCCCAAGACACUUAAUGAGAAUGAAGCAUCUAUCCCAUCAGCUGUAUUUCAAAUAUCAGUUCAGUUAUCUGGUUCAAAAGCUUCAUUGGAUGUUCAAAUAUAGGAGAUUUGGGUAGUCUGUGGGGAGCUCAGCUCCUCUUGUAUGGUUGGAAGAAAAAACACAGCUCUGAAUUUUUUUCCAGAGGGUAAAUCAAAAGUGGUUUAAUGUAAUGAAAUUCACUGUGCUCCAUAUUUGCUCUGUCUAGCUGCCCUCCUGCCUCUCUGAGGAAUUCCACACACACUGCAUCAUGUGUGCCUCCACUUCAGAUUGAAAUUGCCAUUACUACAUGAGGAACUCCUGCUUCCAGCCUUGCUUUUGUUCUGCUCCUCACUGGGGGGAUCUCACUUACUUCACUACCCCUAGGAAAGGGGUAUUUUUUGGUCAUACCAUCGUGUUAAAUCUGCUCACCAGAGGCCUGACAAAAGUCAUGGAAGAUGGAAGGGUUAACACUUUGUUAAGUCUUGAAGAGUUCAUCUUCAGAGUUCAUGAACCUCAGAUGCUCAGCUAAACUGGAGCAGUGGAGCAGGAAGAUUUUGUCCAGAGCAGAAACUGCCAGUGUUAAAGAAAACAAACCAUAACCCUUUUUCUCUACCAAUAAGUUCUCUGUGGCACGAGGAAUCAUCUAAGAACCAUCUAAAAUGGUUUGGGUUGGAAGGGAACUUCAAAGGUAAUCCAAUUCCAACCCCCUGCCAUGGGCAGGAACAUCUUCAUGGAUGGAGCCCCAUCUAACCUGGGAUGGAUCCUAAACUUCUCUGGGCAACCUGUGCCAAUGUUUCACCAUCCUCCUGGUAAAAAAACCUUUCCUUUUAUGUAGUCUAAAUCCCUUUCAGUUUAAAACCAUUACCACUUAGCCUGUCACAACAGGCCCUGCUAAUAAGUUUGUCUCCAUUUUCCUCUAAAGCCCCCUUUAGGUGCUUUCAGAAGAGUUGUUACCAACUCAAUUUAAAAGAAAUCAAGAGGGUUGUCAGAGGUUUUUUUCAUUUUUUAAUCAUAGGCUAAAUUAGCAUUUUCUCUUUUGCCGUGCUUAGUUUAUAUAAACAUUUAUCUGGAAAUUGUUUUACAAAAUAAUAUAGAGACUAGCAGAGCUUAAAAUAUUGCUACCCAUCACCCAAAAUAUGACAGCACUUGAAAUCAAAGUCAGAAUUAAAUAUAGCCAGUGACAAGUGCAUUCAAAAUGUUCUGACAGACAAGUAGAAGGAAACAUGUUCAUAAGAUUAAGGAAUUGUUUAUACAGUUCAGAAAUGGCUGGAAAUAGUCAAAAAUACCUAAAUAAAGAGCAGGUUAUUUGAGAAGAUCUGCUUAAGAUUUUUGAGAGGAAAACACGUACAAGUUCUUUGUUGUGGAAACGAUAGUGAUAAAUUUGUAGUGACAGGAAUUAAUUGAAAGGUGUUUACAGU